rnacentral:rRNA from 1 species
AGUGAACGCUGGCGGUAGGCCUAACACAUGCAAGUCGAACGGCAGCACAGUAAGAGCUUGCCCUCACGGGUGGCGAGUGGCGGACGGGUGAGGAAUACAUCGGAAUCUACUUUUUCGUGGGGGAUAACGUAGGGAAACUUACGCUAAUACCGCAUACGACCUACGGGUGAAAGCAGGGGAUCUUCGGACCUUGCGCGAUUGAAUGAGCCGAUGUCGGAUUAGCUAGUUGGCGGGGUAAAGGCCCACCAAGGCGACGAUCCGUAGCUGGUCUGAGAGGAUGAUCGGCCACACUGGAACGGAGACACGGUCCAGACUCCUACGGGAGGCAGCAGUGGGGAAUAUUGGACAAUGGGCGCAAGCCUGACCCAGCCAUACCGCGUGGGUGAAGAAGGCCUUCGGGUUGUAAAGCCCUUCUGUUGGGAAAGAAAAGCAGCAGGUUAAUACCCCGCUGUUCUGACGGUACCCAAUGAAUAAGCACCGGCUAACUACGUG